CCUACGGGUGGCAGCAGUGAGGAAUAUUGGUCAAUGGACGAGAGUCUGAACCAGCCAAGUAGCGUGCAGGAUGACUGCCCUAUGGGUUGUAAACUUCUUUUAUACUGGAAUAAAACGCGGCACGUGUGCCUUUUUGCAGGUACUUUAUGAAUAAGGACCGGCUAAUUCCGUGCCAGCAGCCGCGGUAAUACGGAGGAUCCGAGCGUUAUCCGGAUUUAUUGGGUUUAAAGGGAGCGUAGACGGGUUGUUAAGUCAGUUGUGAAAGUUUGCGGCUCAACCGGAGAAUUGCAGUUGAUACUGGCAGUCUUGAGUGCAGUUGAGGUAGGCGGAAUUCGUGGUGUAGCGGUGAAAUGCUUAGAUAUCACGAAGAACCCCGAUUGCGAAGGCAGCCUGCCGAAGCGUUACUGACGCUGAAGCUCGAAGGCGCGGGUAUCGAACAGGAUUAGAUACCCGAGUAGUC
rnacentral:rRNA from 1 species